CCUACGGGAGGCAGCAGUGGGGAAUAUUGGGCAAUGGGCGCAAGCCUGACCCAGCAAUGCCGCGUGAAGGAAGAAGGCUUUCGGGUUGUAAACUUCUUUGACAGGGGAAGAGCAGAAGACGGUACCCUGCAAACAAGCCACGGCUAACUACGUGCCAGCAGCCGCGGUAAUACGUAGGUGGCAAGCGUUGUCCGGAUUUACUGGGGGUAAAGGGCGUGUAUGCGGGAAGGCAAGUCAGAUGUGAAAUCUGGAGGCUCAACCUCCAAAUUGCAUUUGAAACUGUUUUUCUUGAGUACUGGAGAGGCAGGCGGAAUGCGUGGUGUAGCGGUGAAAUGCGUAGAUAUAAGGAGGAAAACCAGUGGCGAAGGCAGUCUGCUGGACAGCAACUGACGGAGAGGCGCGAAAGCGUGGGGAGCAAACAGGAUUAGAUACCCCAGUAGUC
rnacentral:rRNA from 1 species